CGAGAUCCGUGGAUCCGACCAAACAGUCAGAUCCACGGAUCCGUGGAUCCGACCAAACAAACACGCCCAUAGUAUCAGCAUGUCAUCGAUAUGUUCAGUGAUGUGAUUAACGUUUCUCAUCACAAACAUUUUUCAAGGUUAUGGUGUGCCCCCCACGUUCCUUACUUAAUUCUACUGCUGGGUUAGAUACUGUCUCUAAACUACGUCCUAUAUAUGGGCGAAGGAAAGUAAUGUUGGCCUAAAAGCACAAUUGUUGAGUAGCUUUCCCUACCGGACUCCAAUAACUACAACCCAGUCACGAUCGCAUAGCUGUGUAUGUUGAAAAGCUUUCAGUUUUAUGCUUUCAGAUGGCUGUGUAGUCAAAGCGUGAUUUGCAUGUUUUUGUCAAGAUGUUAUUUUGCAAAAUAACUCGUCGUGUAUAAUUUUGUUCGGUUUACAUCUUUGCGUGUCUUUUACUAUGUUGUGUACACAUUAAGAAAUUGAUACUGAACAAAUGAUCGAUCAGAAAUGUAACCAAGAAUAAAUAAUGAUAUUAUUGUUGUAGCCAACCGAUUAACACGCUUUUCUUUGUACUAUAGUACCAGAUUGGGUGCAAUCAGCAAAAUUAUACCAUACAAAGUUUAUAAUGAAGUAGAACAGUGAAGAAGCCCAGAAUAAAAUGCCCAGAACAAUAUGAAAUGAAUAUAAAA